CAUAAAUAUUUUUUUGAGGCUAUACCCCAAUAAGACUGCAAACAUUUGAAUGAUUUCCCCUUAUUUGUGACAAAUGUACCAGUGGGGGGCACACCCUGUGUCCUACAGACACAUUCUAGUUUUUGCUAAACUCAUGAAAUUGUAGGCGUGACUUUGAUCUAGAUCAGCUAUUAAUAUUGACCAAAUUAUAAAGACAAAAUAAAAUGAAAAUAACAAACGCUAUUAUGUGUAAUAGAAAAAUUAAAAGUGAAUUUUAAUGUAAAAUAUGAAAAAAAUAAAUUGGACAGCAUAGAAAGCAUUUAUAUUUAUACCACCGUGUUUUAUGAAUAGACUGAAACUUUGCCUUUAAAUGUUUAAAAAUAAAGUAAUAUAAAAACUACAAGGUCGUUGACUGUUUUGCUAGUAUAUCAAGUUUUUGAUCAUCGAUACCAUGUUCACGCCUCGCGCACACGGUGUAACUUGACUUAUACUUCUUAAGUUUAUCACUGCUGAACCCGUGGACAUUCCAAGAGGGGACCCGAAGAUCCGCCCUCGCGUCACCCUAUCGACUCGUACGACGCGUAGAGCCAAUUUCACAGCUGAUCUAGGACCUGUACCUAUAGCCUUCAUAGAUUGCUCAAGAGCAGUCAAAUCAGUGACAGUCUAACCGUCCACGUAGAGAGAAUCAUAACUUAUCCAGGAUUUCUUGUUUUGGCUCUGAGCAUGUUUCAUAUUUUGGACCAAUUUCCGCUGUUCGUCAGCAACCUCCUUAGGAAAUUGUUCAAAAACAUGGAAAAUAGUGUUUGUGAGUGUGGAUUUAGCACGACGAAUUGUUUCUGGUCCUUGAAAUACGUAAAUUUAACAACGAUAUUCCGUGGUUUAGGAGCACGUGAACCAAAUGGCCGGACCGUUACGUGGUGGGCUAGGUUGACCAACAACGGAGGCGUAUAACGGCCUAUCUCCAGGGUUAUCUGAUUCAGACUUUGGACCACCCAUUCUGUGUGCACGUUCUAUGGGGAUUUGUUUAACGUAAUAUUCUUCUAGACCCAUGUUGUCAAUUAAGAAGAAGGAUCGCACUCUUGUCUCCGUUGUCUGAGGUUUUUCAUUUCUCUGCUCAGCGAUGUUACUAAACACUAAAUUGUUACGCAUGGACUGAGAAGUGAGAUAUGUUAACCUGUCUUCGAAUUUUUGACUUCUCCGCAUCCAAGAACUCAAUGUGAUCAUUGGCUUGUCCCAACGCUAACAACAGAUUUUCGACGCUAUCGGAAACUUUGUUUAUUUUUUCAUCAUGUUCUUUUAUAUUGUCUUGUAUGUAACUCCAUAGUUUUUUUCAGUUCGACGUCAAAUUUUGAAACUUUGGACUCAAGCGUCUCUAAAUUUUUCUCAACAUGAAAAAUUCUACCUUCAAUGCUGUUUCAAAUAGAUUAUUAUGUCAAAAUUAGAUGGGACUGCCGUAUCAGUGCUUUGUGAACCUUGUGAAUUGCUAAUCUUAUUAUUAUGGCUUCACUCCAUCUCCGUAGAACUUUGUGAACUCCCCGUAAGUCCAGAUUCACUCUCAAAAACUGAAUUGUUCAAUAUGUUUGGAUUUAAGUCACUUGUAUCUCCAUUUUCCAGAAAGAACAGAAUUAGCGUCUCUUAUAUGGUCACUAAUUGCCACAGACGAAUAUUGAUCAGAUUGAUCAGGUAGUGAUCCGCCAUUACGCGCGGUGUUUGAAUCGGGGAUACUAUCUUGACUGCUUUUCUUCCGUUUUUGUCACGUUUAUUAUGAUUUGCCAUUGAGGACAUAUGUACACAUCUCGGUUAUACUUAUUAAAUGUUAUAAAUC
rnacentral:lncRNA from 1 species